rnacentral:lncRNA from 1 species
GUGACAUCUGGGUUCCCUGGGGCUCCUGGUGCGGUGGCUAACGCCUGUAAUCCCAGCACUUUCGGAGGCCGAGCUGGGUGGAUCACGACGUCAGGAGUUCAAGACCAGCCUGGCCAAGAUGGUGAAACCCCAUCUCUACUGAAAAUACAAAAAUUAGCCAGGCGCACUGGCACACGCCUGUAAUCCCAGCUACUCGGGAGGCUGAGGCAGGGAAUUGCUUGAACCAGGGAGGUGGAGGUUACAGUGAGCCCAGAUCAUGCCACUGCACUCCAGCCUGGGCAACGGAGCGAGACUCUGUCUCACAAAAAAUAAAUAAAUAAAAGAAAAG